GAUGAACGCUGGCGGCGUGCCUAAUACAUGCAAGUCGAGCGAACGGACGAGAAGCUUGCUUCUCUGAUGUUAGCGGCGGACGGGUGAGUAACACGUGGAUAACCUACCUAUAAGACUGGGAUAACUUCGGGAAACCGGAGCUAAUACCGGAUAAUAUUUUGAACCGCAUGGUUCAAAAGUGAAAGACGGUCUUGCUGUCACUUAUAGAUGGAUCCGCGCUGCAUUAGCUAGUUGGUAAGGUAACGGCUUACCAAGGCAACGAUGCAUAGCCGACCUGAGAGGGUGAUCAGCCACACUGGAACUGAGACACGGUCCAGACUCCUACGGGAGGCAGCAGUAGGGAAUCUUCCACAAUGGGCGAAAGCCUGACGGAGCAACGCCGCGUGAGUGAUGAAGGUCUUCGGAUCGUAAAACUCUGUUAUUAGGGAAGAACAGAUGUGUAAGUAACUGUGCACAUCUUGACGGUACCUAAUCAGAAAGCCACGGCUAACUACGUG
rnacentral:rRNA from 1 species